rnacentral:rRNA from 1 species
AGUCUGACAGCCAUGCCGCGUGGAGGAUGAAGGUCCUCUGGAUUGUAAACUUCUUUUAUCUGGGAAGAAAUCACUUUUUUCUAAAGGUGUUGACGGUACCAGAUGAAUAAGCACCGGCUAACUCCGUGCCAGCAGCCGCGGUAAUACGGAGGGUGCAAGCGUUAUCCGGAUUCACUGGGUUUAAAGGGUGCGUAGGCGGAAUGGUAAGUCCGUGGUGAAAUCUCCGAGCUUAACUCGGAAACUGCCGUGGAUACUAUCAAUCUUGAAUGUUGUGGAGGUUUGCGGAAUAUGUCAUGUAGCGGUGAAAUGCUUAGAUAUGACAUAGAACACCGAUUGCGAAGGCAGCAGGCUACACAAAUAUUGACGCUGAGGCACGAAAGCGUGGGGAUCAAACAGGAUUAGAUACCCUGGUAGUCCACGCCCUAAACGAUGAUUACUCGACAUACGCGAUAUACAGUGUGUGUCUGAGCGAAAGCAUUAAGUAAUCCACCUGGGAAGUACGACCGCAAGGUUGAAACUCAAAGGAAUUGACGGA